rnacentral:rRNA from 1 species
UACGAAGGGGGCUAGCGUUGUUCGGAAUCACUGGGCGUAAAGGGUGCGUAGGCGGCUCUUUAAGUCAGGGGUGAAAUCCUGGAGCUCAACUCCAGAACUGCCUUUGAUACUGAAGAUCUUGAGUUCGGGAGAGGUGAGUGGAACUGCGAGUGUAGAGGUGAAAUUCGUAGAUAUUCGCAAGAACACCAGUGGCGAAGGCGGCUCACUGGCCCGAUACUGACGCUGAGGCACGGAAGCGUGGGGAGCAAACAGG